UCAAACAGCGGCCUUCGGGCCUUGCUGCACCCUUGUCUUUUGCGUACCGUAUGUUUCCUCGGCGGGCUUGCCUGCCGGUUGGACUAUUCUCAAAACCUUUUUGUAGUUGCGAUCAGCGUCAGAAAACAAAAUAAUUAUUA
rnacentral:misc_RNA from 1 species